UAAAGAGCUGCGCCAUGAGCGCAUGAUACGCCCGUCGUUCGCCAAUGAAGUAGUAAGGUAAUAAAUAACCCUUUGAAUCAUUUUUUUACUUCAGUUUAUUUGUAUUUGAAUACAUGGUUUAUUUUAUAAGAACAUGAGCAUGGAGCGCCGUCUCCUUGACAUUCAACAAAGUCCCAUAACUGUGGAACAACAAUUCAGAAUUCCGUCAAAAACGAAAGGGGAUCAGGGUUUAUCAAUAUUAAGAUUGUGUUGAAAUUUGAAAAAAAAUCCAUCGAAGGAUAUUUGAGCUACAGUAGGACAUUCAAUGAAAUCACGAAAUUUUGACGAACAAAGUCCCAUAACUCUGGAACGACAAUUCAGAAUUCCGUCAAAAACGAAAGGGGAUCAGGGUUUAUCAAUAUUAAGAUUGUGUUGAAAUUUGAAAAAAAUCCAUCGAAGGAUAUUUGAGCUACAGUAGGACAUUCAAUGAAAUCACGAAAUUUUGACGAACAAAGUCCCAUAACUCUGGAACGACAAUUCAGAAUUCCGUCAAAAACGAAAGGGGAUCAGGGUUUAUCAAUAUUAAGAUUGUGUUGAAAUUUGAAAAAAAUCCAUCGAAGGAUAUUUGAGCUACAGUAGGACAUUCAAUGAAAUCACGAAAUUUUGACGAACAAAGUCCCAUAACUCUGGAACGACAAUUCAGAAUUCCGUCAAAAACGAAAGGGGAUCAGGGUUUAUCAAUAUUAAGAUUGUGUUAAAAUUUGAUGAAAAUCUGUCAAAGGAUAUUUGACGUAGCGUACGACAUUAACAGACGGACAGACGGACGCGGGGUAUACCAUAAUACGUCCCGUCAUAGA